AAGUAGGGGAUCGCAAGACCUUGCGCUUUUGGAGCGGCCGAUGCCUGAUUAGCUAGUUGGUAGGGUAAUGGCCUACCAAGGCGACGAUCAGUAGUUGGUCUGAGAGGACGACCAGCCACACUGGGACUGAGACACGGCCCAGACUCCUACGGGAGGCAGCAGUGGGGAAUUUUGGACAAUGGGCGAAAGCCUGAUCCAGCAAUGCCGCGUGAGUGAAGAAGGCCUUCGGGUUGUAAAGCUCUUUCAGUCGAGAAGAAAAGGUUGUGACUAAUAAUCACAACUCAUGACGGUAUCGACAGAAGAAGCACCGGCUAACUACGUGCCAGCAGCCGCGGUAAUACGUAGGGUGCGAGCGUUAAUCGGAAUUACUGGGCGUAAAGGGUGCGCAGGCGGCUUUGUAAGUCAGAUGUGAAAGCCCCGGGCUUAACCUGGGAAUUGCGUUUGAAACUACAAAGCUAGAGU
rnacentral:rRNA from 1 species